GACGAACGCUGGCGGCGUGCUUAACACAUGCAAGUCGAACGGAAAGGCACUGCUUGUGUGGGGUGAUCGAGUGGGGAACGGGUGAGUAAGACGAGAGCAACCUGAUCUUGACUUUGGGAUAACUUCAGGAAACUGGGGCUAAUAUCGGAUAGGAGCUCCUGCUGGAGGGAGGGCGGGGGAUCGUUUCGGCGGUCGGGGAUGGACUCGCGGCUUACGGGCUAGUUGGUGGGGGAGUGGCUUACCAAGGCUUUGACGGGUAGCCGGCCUGUGAGGGUGGCCGGCCACAUUGCGCCUGAGAUACGCCCCAGUCUCCUACGGGAGGCAGCAGUGGGGAGUAUUGCACAAUGGGCGGAAGCCUGAUGCGGCAACGCCGCGUGCGGGAUGCCGGCCUUCGGGUUGUAAACCGCUUUCGCCUGUGACGAAGCGUGAGUGACGGUAAUGAGUAAAGAAGCACCGGCUAACUACGUG
rnacentral:rRNA from 1 species